rnacentral:sRNA from 1 species
AUAAGAGACCCAUACAAACAUUAA